UUAACUCAAUUUUGUAUGGAGUUGGUACGUUUGCCUACGUUGGCCUAUGUUUGCCUAGGUUUGCAGGAGCGCUGUUCCCACUGCAUACAAAUUUGAGUUA
rnacentral:pre_miRNA from 1 species